rnacentral:rRNA from 1 species
AUAGGGGAGCCGUAGGGAAACCGAGUCUUAACUGGGCGAAUGAGUUGCAGGGUAUAGACCCGAAACCCGGUGAUCUAGCCAUGGGCAGGUUGAAGGUUGGGUAACACUAACUGGAGGACCGAACCGACUAAUGUUGAAAAAUUAGCGGAUGACUUGUGGCUGGGGGUGAAAGGCCAAUCAAACCGGGAGAUAGCUGGUUCUCCCCGAAAGCUAUUUAGGUAGCGCCUCGUGAACUCAUCUUCGGGGGUAGAGCACUGUUUCGGCUAGGGGGUCAUCCCGACUUACCAACCCGAUGCAAACUACGAAUACCGAAGAAUGUUAUCACGGGAGACACACGGCGGGUGCUAACGUUCGUCGUGAAGAGGGAAACAACCCAGACCGCCAGCUAAGGUCCCAAAGUCAUGGUUAAGUGGGAAACGAAGUGGGAAGGCUCAGACAGCCAGGAUGUUGGCUUAGAAGCAGCCAUCAUUUAAAGAAAGCGUAAUAGCUCACUGGUCGAGUCGGCCUGCGCGGAAGAUGUAACGGGGCUAAACCAUGCACCGAAGCUGCGGCAGCGACAUGUAAAUGUUGUUGGGUAGGGGAGCGUUCUGUAAGCCUGUGAAGGUGUGCUGCGAGGCAUGCUGGAGGUAUCAGAAGUGCGAAUGCUGACAUAAGUAACGAUAAUGCGGGUGAAAAACCCGCACGCCGGAAGACCAAGGGUUCCUGUCCAACGUUAAUCGGGGCAGGGUGAGUCGACCCCUAAGGCGAGGCAGAAAUGCGUAGUCGAUGGGAAACAGGUUAAUAUUCCUGUACUGGUGAUAAUUGCGAUGGGGGGACGGAGAAGGCUAGGCUGGCCGGGCGACGGUUGUCCCGGUUUAAGGAUGUAGGUGGGCGAAUUAGGCAAAUCCGGUUCGCUAUACACUGAGGUCUGAUGACGAGUCACUACGGUGGCGAAGUAGCUCAUGCCCCGCUUCCAGGAAAAGCCUCUAAGCUCUAGAUUAUCAUUAAUCGUACCCCAAACCGACACAGGUGGUCAGGUAGAGAAUACUCAGGCGCUUGAGAGAACUCGGGUGAAGGAACUAGGCAAAAUGGUGCCGUAACUUCGGGAGAAGGCACGCUGGCACUAGGUGAAGUCCCUUGCGGAUGGAGCUGAAGCCAGUCGCAGAUACCAGCUGGCUGCAACUGUUUAUUAAAAACACAGCACUGUGCAAACACGAAAGUGGACGUAUACGGUGUGACGCCUGCCCGGUGCUGGAAGGUUAAUUGAUGGGGUUAUCCGUAAGGAGAAGCUCUUGAUCGAAGCCCCAGUAAACGGCGGCCGUAACUAUAACGGUCCUAAGGUAGCGAAAUUCCUUGUCGGGUAAGUUCCGACCUGCACGAAUGGCGUAAUGAUGGCCAGGCUGUCUCCACCCGAGACUCAGUGAAAUUGAACUCGCUGUGAAGAUGCAGUGUACCCGCGGCAAGACGGAAAGACCCCGUGAACCUUUACUAUAGCUUGACACUGAACAUUGAGCCUUGAUGUGUAGGAUAGGUGGGAGGCUUUGAAGUGUGGACGCCAGUCUGCAUGGAGCCAACCUUGAAAUACCACCCUUUAAUGUUUGAUGUUCUAACGUUGCCCCAUAAUCUGGGGUGCGGACAGUGUCUGGUGGGUAGUUUGACUGGGGCGGUCUCCUCCCAAAGCGUAACGGAGGAGCACGAAGGUUGGCUAAGCAUGGUCGGACAUCAUGCGGUUAGUGCAAAGGCAUAAGCCAGCUUGACUGCGAGAGUGACGGCUCGAGCAGGUACGAAAGUAGGUCUUAGUGAUCCGGUGGUUCUGAAUGGAAGGGCCAUCGCUCAACGGAUAAAAGGUACUCCGGGGAUAACAGGCUGAUACCGCCCAAGAGUUCAUAUCGACGGCGGUGUUUGGCACCUCGAUGUCGGCUCAUCACAUCCUGGGGCUGAAGUAGGUCCCAAGGGUAUGGCUGUUCGCCAUUUAAAGUGGUACGCGAGCUGGGUUUAGAACGUCGUGAGACAGUUCGGUCCCUAUCUGCCGUGGGCGUUGGAAGAUUGAAAGGGGCUGCUCCUAGUACGAGAGGACCGGAGUGGACGCACCGCUGGUGUUCGGGUUGUCAUGCCAAUGGCACUGCCCGGUAGCUAAGUGCGGAAGAGAUAACCGCUGAAAGCAUCUAAGCGGGAAACUUGCCUUGAGAUGAGUCUUCCCUGACUCUUUAAGGGUCCUAAAGGAACGUUUAAGACGAAGACGUUGAUAGGCUGGGUGUGUAAGCGUAGCGAUACGUUGAGCUAACCAGUACUAAUGAACCGUGAGGCUUAACCUG